rnacentral:rRNA from 1 species
AAUACUUAGGAAUCUGCCUAUUAGUGGGGGACAACAUUUCGAAAGGAAUGCUAAUACCGCAUACGCCCUACGGGGGAAAGCAGGGGCUCUUCGGACCUUGCGCUAAUAGAUGAGCCUAAGUCAGAUUAGCUAGUUGGUGGGGUAAAGGCCUACCAAGGCGACGAUCUGUAACGGGUCUGAGAGGAUGAUCCGUCACACUGGGACUGAGACACGGCCCAGACUCCUACGGGAGGCAGCAGUGGGGAAUAUUGGACAAUGGGGGCAACCCUGAUCCAGCCAUGCCGCGUGUGUGAAGAAGGCCUUUUGGUUGUAAAGCACUUUAAGCGAGGAGGAGGCUCCUGUAGAUAAUACCUACAGUGAGUGGACGUUACUCGCAGAAUAAGCACCGGCUGACUCUGUGCCAGCAGCCGCGGUAAUACAGAGGGUGCGAGCGUUAAUCGGAUUUACUGGGCGUAAAGCGUGCGUAGGUGGCCAAUUAAGUCAAAUGUGAAAUCCCUGAGCUUAACUUAGGAAUUGCAUUCGAUACUGGUUGGCUAGAGUAUGGGAGAGGAUGGUAGAAUUCCAGGUGUAGCGGUGAAAUGCGUAGAGAUCUGGAGG